CCCCCCCCCCCCCCCCUUCUUUCCUCAUGAUACUAUCUCUGCCACUUUUUUUUUUAUUCUCACACUAUGUACGAGUUUAUUUUGUUACAAGUGUAAGUAUUUGUAUAUAUCUUGUAGAUGUUACAUUAUCUACUUACAUUCACUUCACUCCUACUUUGUACAUCUGUAGUGCAAAUUUGUAGUAUUUCAUUUUUAUGGCUGAAUCAGCCUCCACAUCACAUUUAUCCCCAUCUUCAUUUCAUUAUCCUUCAGACCACUUUUUUAAAAAAAUGUUGCUAGUAAUAGGUGUUCUCAAAAAUCAAAUAAAUAAAAGCACAUCUAAAAUUCUACCUGAUGAGACCAUAGCUGGUUCAUAAGUUUGUGUUUUUUUUUUUUUUUUUUUUUUUA